rnacentral:rRNA from 1 species
ACUCACCAGGUCAGGACACGGUAAGGAUUGACGGACUGAAGGCUCUUUCUCGAUUCCGUGGAAAGUGGUGCAUGGCCGUUUUGGUUGGUGGAUCGAUCCGUCUGGUUAAUUCCGUUAACGAACGAGACCUCGGCACUCCGAAUAGCGCGGCGGACGUCGCGGCCUCCGGGCCGUCUUCCGCACGAGCUUCUUAGAGGGACCGUCCCCCGCCGGGGAAGGAGGUGCGAGGCAACGACAGGUCUGUGAUGCCCUUAGAUGUUCUGGGGCCGCACGCGCAUUACACUGACGCGUCCAACGGGUGACUCCCGACCCGAAGGGGCCGGGGAAUCCGCAAGGCGCGUCGUGAUGGGGAUUGAACGUUGCAAUUGUUGUUCACGAACGAGGAAUUCCUAGUAGGCGCGGGUCAUCAACCCGCGCCGAUUACGUCCCUG